rnacentral:sRNA from 1 species
GCCAGGUGUGGUGGCACACAUCUGUAAUCCUAGCAACUCAGGAGGCUGAGGCAGGAGGAUCACAAGUUCAAAGCCCGCCUCAGCAACUUAAGGCCAUAAGCAACUUAGUGAGACCCUGUGUCAA